rnacentral:rRNA from 1 species
GACGAACGCUGGCGGCGUGCUUAACACAUGCAAGUCGAACGGAAAGGCCCUGCUUUUGUGGGGUGCUCGAGUGGCGAACGGGUGAGUAACACGUGAGUAACCUGCCCUUGACUUUGGGAUAACUUCAGGAAACUGGGGCUAAUACCGGAUAGGAGCUCCUGCUGCAUGGUGGUGGUUGGAAAGUUUCGGCGGUUGGGGAUGGACUCGCGGCUUAUCAGCUUGUUGGUGGGGUAGGGGCUUACCAAGGCUUUGACGGGUAGCCGGCCUGAGAGGGUGACCGGCCACAUUGGGCCUGCGAUACGGCCCAGACUCCUACGGGAGGCAGCAGUGGGGAAUAUUGCACAAUGGGCGGAAGCCUGAUGCAGCAACGCCGCGUGCGGGAUGACGGCCUUCGGGUUGUAAACCGCUUUCGCCUGUGACGAAGCGUGAGUGACGGUAAUGGGUAAAGAAGCACCGGCUAACUACGUG